AAAAAACGUUGCCUAACCACAAACACGACAACAUCCCACGAAAAUGACGGCCAUAAGAAGGACUCGGCAGAUAGAGAGAGAGAGUGGGAGUGGGAGAAAGUGAACUUAAGUUUGGCAGAUUCUUCGAUGUGAGUGCUUGUCUGUGUUUGUUUGUGCUUUUUUGGAUGUGGUUGUCAUGACUUGGUCCCCAUAGUCCAACCACUCACCAUGUUGUCUAUCGAGCAACAGGAAGAAGUUGUCACACCGCAGAUAGAUUGCGCUGAUAAGUGCAUAAUGCAGACACACACGGGCACAUCGGAAAUUUGUGGCUUCUUCGUUACACACAUACGUGCGUGUGUGUGUGUGUGUGAGUGGGUGCGAUAUGUUUGCACGAAUAAUAAGCAGAUUUGCAAGCAACCGCAACAACAACAAUAACAGCAACAACCGCAGUCAGCCAGGCGAUAUUUUGCCUUUUACCAUUGUUCAAAUUUUGUAGUUUUUUUGGUCGUUGUUCAUUUGUGGCUCAUGGCGGACAUCAAAAUUGAAUGAUUUGCGCCUGACAGCACGGGUGCUGCGGGAUGUGGGUUGCGAAUUGCGUCAUGCGGGAUGGUUUGGGCUGCGCGGUACACGGUGCAUGGUACACAGGAUGUAGAUGACAGGACGACAACGGAGCCAGACCCAUUGUUCAACUGAUAAGGCAGCUACUAAUCAUAUUACCUGCGUCAAUCUAUGUACAGGUAGAUGGGUACAUUGAUGUACGACGAUGCACUGCUCGAUGUGAAGGCAUUUGCCCGCUGGCCAGUGGAAUGAAUAAAAUGGGGCACACUGACUAAGGCGACAGGAUGUAUUUGUCGCCAGCCCACAAUGGAUAAGGACAAGAGACAGCAGUCGCUCAAUUACCAUGACAUAGUCGUACGGUGAAUGUUGUGUUUGGAGUCCAAUGUUAACUGUAAGACUGUGUCUUGGUGGUUGCCAGCCAAGCAACAAGCGAUGACCACCCAAAACGAAAGCCAAAAUCGCUCAGUGCCGCUCGCAGUGCCCCACAAAAUAAGUAUGCCUUAAAACCGGCUUAUCAGACGUCACAAACAGACAUGUCAGACAGGCCAAGGCAGGGCAGGGCCGCCACCCUUAGCACUAAACUGACAGCUUGACAGGCGUCUGUUCAGCCAAGAAACAACCUGGAAUAAUAUUUCAUUUCGCGAAUUAAUCAUGCAUAUGAUGCGUGCUUAUUAGCCCAUUUUGUGUGGAUAUGGGAGGUGCUUACAUAUGUACAUAUGUUUGUGUUCUGUAUAUAUGAUUGUGUUCUGACUGUGGAUUUUCAAAGACUUGCGCCUGGUUGCGUUUUUAAGCCGCUCCCAUUUCUGUGGUCGCUGCAAGAACGCUGAUAAGGCGCCAAGUGUCAAACCUAUGUGAACGAGGACAGCCACCAUUGGCGCUGCCAGUGGAGCAGCAACCACAAUAAAACGUGCGUCCCCCAAAACCAUGAUUCAGCUGUCAACGUUUGCACUGGCAACUCCUGUAGUUCUGCCCUAAUGGGACCGGCUGUGGCUGAUGCUGAUGUUGAUGCCACUGCGCCCAGUGUCAGCUUUCUCAGCUGAAAGUGCUCAGGCCGUGCCGCCCAUUAUUUACGUGUGUAAUUGAAGUGUGGACUGGCAUAUUAAAGAGCGUAAUAUCACAGCAAAGUUUUCGUUGCUGUUGCUGUUGCUGUUGCCGCUGCCGUUGCCGUUGUUGCUGCCACAGCUAUGUAAUUAUUAAAACCAACAAAUAAGGUUGCUGUAGAUGUUGAGAUGUUUUUUUUUUGUGGCUUCGACGCUUGGUCGCUGGUGGGUUCUCAUUCUCUGGGCGGUUGACUUAGCGCAGACCUGUUCAAAUGACCAGCAAACAAACACUGGCCGUGAACCACAGCUGCCAACAAUACAGUCCCAUACACAAUAGUGCUGUUCAUUAAGCUGAACCAUAAACUGACUUUUAUUAAAUUCAUUCGACAUACAAUUGU
rnacentral:sRNA from 13 species